rnacentral:rRNA from 1 species
UCCCGCGUAAUUUAAGCAUAUUAAUAAGCGGAGGAAAAGAAACAAACUUGGAUUCCCUCAGUAGCUGCGAGCGAACAGGGAGGAGCCCAGCACCGAAUCCUGCGCGCCGCGAGCGCGUCUGGAAAUGUGGUGUUUGGGAGGAUCCGAUCAUCUCGCGCGGACACGCCAGUCCAAGUCCAUCUUGAAAGCGGCCACAGCCCACAGAGGGUGCCAGGCCCGUAGGACGGCGGNUUCGUCCGCGCGAAAGGGUCUCUCNNNNNNNNNNNNNNNNNNNNNNNNNNNNNNNNNNNNNNNNNNNNNNNNNNUCUUGAAGCACGGACCAAGGAGUCUAACAUGUGCGCGAGUCAUUGGGACCGCACUAAACCUAAAGGCGUAACGAAAGUGAAGCGCGCGCGUGGCGCGGCGUGCCCUCGAGGCGCGUCGUCGCUCGCCGCCGAGGGGGGAUGCAGCCCGUCCGCAGCGACGCGGCUGCCGCACCCCCGGGGCGUCUCGUUGUCAUUGCGACACAGCAGGCGCACCCAGAGCGUACACGUUGGGACCCGAAAGAUGGUGAACUAUGCCUGGCGCUCGGAGGCAUAUUGUGGAGCGGUGCCGAGGUCGCAAGGCCGGAGCUCGCACGUAACCAGUCUCAUCUGGUAAAGCGAAUGAUUAGAGGCCUUGGGGCCGAAACGACCUCAACCUAUUCUCAAACUUUAAAUGGGUGAGAAAUUCGACUUGCUCGAAUCAAUGAAGUCAAAUAUUAAAUGACAGGAUGAACGAGUGCCAAGUGGGCCAAUUUUGGUAAGCAGAACUGGUGCUGUGGGAUGAACCAAACGUCGAGUUAAGGCGCCUAAAUCGAUGCUCAUGGGAUACCAUGAAAGGCGUUGGUUGCUUAAGACAGCAGGACGGUGCGAAGUUGAUGUGCUGUCGAAUACGCUAGUUUAACUACUCUUGUAUGACCACGUCGGGCGAAAGGGAAUCCGGUUCCUAUUCCGGAACCCGGCAGCGGAACCGACCAUGCGGGCCAAUGUCGCGCAAGCGGCAACUCGUCGGGGUAACCCAAAAGGACCCGGAGACGCCGUCGGAUGAUCGAGGCAGAGUUUUCUGUUCUGUAUGAGCGUUCGAGUUCCCUGGAAUCGCCUAGCGCGGAGAUAGGGUUUGGAACGCGAAGAGCACCGCACUUGCGGCGGUGUCUCGAUCUAUCCCUCGGACCUUGAAAAUCCGGGAGAGGGCCACGUGGAGGUGUCGCGCCGGUUCGUACCCAUAUCCGCAGCAGGUCUCCAAG